AAACCUGCUGAGCAGCUACAGAGCAGGGCCAAGGAGGAUUCCUCUGGACUGGAGCCUUUCUCUCUGGAUGGCCAAGAUGCCCAGGCUGUUUAAAGUCCCACACAUGCAAACAGCCCAGCGACCAUUGCAAGCGCAGGGCACGCGUGCCACGAUGCGGGGCUG
rnacentral:lncRNA from 1 species